AAAAAGUUAAAAUUUAACUUAAAAAUUGGUUCGGUCUAUAUUUUACAUAUAUAGUUUAAGUUUUAGAUAAAAAGUUUAUUGUAGUAAUUAAUUUUAUAUAUUUAGUAAAUUAGGAUAUAGUAAUAGAUUAAAGUAUUAACUAAAUUUGUGCCAGCAGUUGCGGUUAUACAAAUAAUACUAUUAAUUUUGGCGGUUAAGUAAUAAUUUGUUUAUUAAUUUUAAAAUUUUUAUUUUAAGGUGAAAUUUUAAUAUUUUAAAAGAUUAAUUUAUAAUAAGAGUUUACAUAAGUUUUGUAAAAAACCAGGAUUAGAUACCCUGCUAUUAAAACUAUAAUAUUAAAGCCUUGGUUAGUAUGGGUUAAGUUCCUGAAAAUCAAAUAUUUUGGCGGUAUUUUUACCAUUCAGAGGAAUCUGUCCUGUAAUUGAUUUUCCACGUUUAAUUAAACUUUUAUUUUACUUGUAUAUCGUUGUUAUAAGAAUGUUUUUAGAAAAUGGUAAUUUUCGGAGAUUAUAAUUUUAAGGGAGUUCAAAUCAAGGUGCAGUUUUUAAAAGUAGAGAUGGAUUACAUUAUAUUUAUAUUAGGAUUUAAAAUUUUAGGUUUUAUUGAAUUUGGAUUUGAAGGUAAUUUUAUGAAUAUUCAUAAAAUGAUUAAGGUACUAAAAUAUGUACAUAUCGCCCGUCGCUUUUAUUAUUAUAAUAAAAUAAGUCGUAACAUAGUAGAUUUACUGGAAAGUGGUUCUGGAAUGUC
rnacentral:ncRNA from 1 species